rnacentral:rRNA from 1 species
CAAGACCUUGCGCUUUUGGAGCGGCCGAUGUCUGAUUAGCUAGUUGGUGAGGUAAAGGCUUACCAAGGCUUCGAUCAGUAGCUGGUCUGAGAGGACGACCAGCCACACUGGGACUGAGACACGGCCCAGACUCCUACGGGAGGCAGCAGUGGGGAAUUUUGGACAAUGGGGGCAACCCUGAUCCAGCCAUGCCGCGUGAGUGAAGAAGGCCUUCGGGUUGUAAAGCUCUCUCAGCCGGAACGAAAAGGUUACGGUUAAUACCCGUGACUAAUGACGGUACCGGAAGAAGAAGCACCGGCUAACUACAUGCCAGCAGCCGCGGUAAUACGUAGGGUGCGAGCGUUAAUCGGAAUUACUGGGCGUAAAGCGUGCGCAGGCGGUUUUGUAAGUCAGAUGUGAAAUCCCCGGGCUUAACCUGGGAACU